rnacentral:tRNA from 1 species
CAUUGAAUGGCUGAAAUUUAAGCAAUGGUCUCUUAAACCAAUAUAUAGUAUUUUGUACUUUCAAUGA